AUUGAACGCUGGUGGCAGGCUUAACACAUGCAAGUCGAACGAUGAUUACUAGCUUGCUAGUAUGAUUAGUGGCGAACGGGUGAGUAAUGCUUAGGAAUCUACCUAUUAGUGGGGGACAACAUUCCGAAAGGAAUGCUAAUACCGCAUACGUCCUAUGGGAGAAAGCAGGGGAUCGCAAGACCUUGUGCUAAUAGAUGAGCCUAAGUCGGAUUAGCUAGUUGGUGGGGUAAAGGCCUACCAAGGCGACGAUCUGUAGCUGGUCUGAGAGGAUGAUCAGCCACACUGGGACUGAGACACGGCCCAGACUCCUACGGGAGGCAGCAGUGGGGAAUAUUGGACAAUGGGCGAAAGCCUGAUCCAGCCAUGCCGCGUGUGUGAAGAAGGCCUUUUGGUUGUAAAGCACUUUAAGUGGGGAGGAAAAGUUGACGGUUAAUACCCGCCAGCCCUGACGUACCCACAGAAUAAG
rnacentral:rRNA from 1 species